rnacentral:rRNA from 1 species
AUACGGAGGAUCCGAGCGUUAUCCGGAUUUAUUGGGUUUAAAGGGUGCGCAGGCGGCCAUUUAAGUCAGCGGUUAAAUCGUGGGGCUCAACCCCAUUCUGCCGUUGAUACUGGGUGGCUUGAUAGCGGUCGAGGUUGGCGGAAUUCGUUGUGUAGCGGUGAAAUGCAUAGAUAUGACGAAGAACACCGAUUGCGUGGGCAGCUGACCAGACCGCAAAUGACGCUCAUGCACGAAAGUGCGGGGAUCGAACAGGAUUAGAUACCCUGGUAGUCCGCACAGUAAACGAUGAAUACUUGUUUUCGGCGAUAUAAUGUCGGAGGCAAAGCGAAAGCGAUAAGUAUUCCACCUGGGGAGUACGCCGGCAACGGUGAAACUCAAAGGAAUUGACGGGG